GUCUUGCUGGUGUAGUGGUAGCAUGCAACCUCGGCAUGGUCGGAACGCAGGCUCAACUCCUGUAUGAGGCU